rnacentral:rRNA from 1 species
AUGAUUUACAUUUGAGUGAGUGGCGAACUGGUGAGUAACACGUGGGAAACCUGCCCAGAAGCGGGGGAUAACACCUGGAAACAGAUGCUAAUACCGCAUAACAACUUGGACCGCAUGGUCCGAGUUUGAAAGAUGGCUUCGGCUAUCACUUUUGGAUGGUCCCGCGGCGUAUUAGCUAGAUGGUGGGGUAACGGCUCACCAUGGCAAUGAUACGUAGCCGACCUGAGAGGGUAAUCGGCCACAUUGGGACUGAGACACGGCCCAAACUCCUACGGGAGGCAGCAGUAGGGAAUCUUCCACAAUGGACGAAAGUCUGAUGGAGCAACGCCGCGUGAGUGAAGAAGGGUUUCGGCUCGUAAAACUCUGUUGUUAAAGAAGAACAUAUCUGAGAGUAACUGUUCAGGUAUUGACGGUAUUUAACCAGAAAGCCACGGCUAACUACGUGCCAGCAGCCGCGGUAAUACGUAGGUGGCAAGCGUUGUCCGGAUUUAUUGGGCGUAAAGCGAGCGCAGGCGGUUUUUUAAGUCUGAUGUGAAAGCCUUCGGCUCAACCGAAGAAGUGCAUCGGAAACUGGGAAACUUGAGUGCAGAAGAGGACAGUGGAACUCCAUGUGUAGCGGUGAAAUGCGUAGAUAUAUGGAAGAACACCAGUGGCGAAGGCGGCUGUCUGGUCUGUAACUGACGCUGAGGCUCGAAAGUAUGGGUAGCAAACAGGAUUAGAUACCCUGGUAGUCCAUACCGUAAACGAUGAAUGCUAAGUGUUGGAGGGUUUCCGCCCUUCAGUGCUGCAGCUAACGCAUUAAGCAUUCCGCCUGGGGAGUACGGCCGCAAGGCUGAAACUCAAAGGAAUUGACGGGGGCCCGCACAAGCGGUGGAGCAUGUGGUUUAAUUCGAAGCUACGCGAAGAACCUUACCAGGUCUUGACAUACUAUGCAAAUCUAAGAGAUUAGACGUUCCCUUCGGGGACAUGGAUACAGGUGGUGCAUGGUUGUCGUCAGCUCGUGUCGUGAGAUGUUGGGUUAAGUCCCGCAACGAGCGCAACCCUUAUUAUCAGUUGCCAGCAUUAAGUUGGGCACUCUGGUGAGACUGCCGGUGACAAACCGGAGGAAGGUGGGGAUGACGUCAAAUCAUCAUGCCCCUUAUGACCUGGGCUACACACGUGCUACAAUGGAUGGUACAACGAGUUGCGAACUCGCGAGAGUAAGCUAAUCUCUUAAAGCCAUUCUCAGUUCGGAUUGUAGGCUGCAACUCGCCUACAUGAAGUCGGAAUCGCUAGUAAUCGCGGAUCAGCAUGCCGCGGUGAAUACGUUCCCGGGCCUUGUACACACCGCCCGUCACACCAUGAGAGUUU